rnacentral:rRNA from 1 species
GAUGAACGCGGGCGGCGUGCCUAAUACAUGCAAGUCGAACGCACAGCGAAAGGUGCUUGCACCUUUCAAGUGAGUGGCGAACGGGUGAGUAACACGUGGACAACCUGCCUCAAGGCUGGGGAUAACAUUUGGAAACAGAUGCUAAUACCGAAUAAAACUUAGUGUCGCAUGACACAAAGUUAAAAGGCGCUUCGGCGUCACCUAGAGAUGGAUCCGCGGUGCAUUAGUUAGUUGGUGGGGUAAAGGCCUACCAAGACAAUGAUGCAUAGCCGAGUUGAGAGACUGAUCGGCCACAUUGGGACUGAGACACGGCCCAAACUCCUACGGGAGGCUGCAGUAGGGAAUCUUCCACAAUGGGCGAAAGCCUGAUGGAGCAACGCCGCGUGUGUGAUGAAGGCUUUCGGGUCGUAAAGCACUGUUGUAUGGGAAGAACAGCUAGAAUAGGAAAUGAUUUUAGUUUGACGGUACCAUACCAGAAAGGGACGGCUAAAUACGUGCCAGCAGCCGCGGUAAUACGUAUGUCCCGAGCGUUAUCCGGAUUUAUUGGGCGUAAAGCGAGCGCAGACGGUUUAUUAAGUCUGAUGUGAAAGCCCGGAGCUCAACUCCGGAAUGGCAUUGGAAACUGGUUAACUUGAGUGCAGUAGAGGUAAGUGGAACUCCAUGUGUAGCGGUGGAAUGCGUAGAUAUAUGGAAGAACACCAGUGGCGAAGGCGGCUUACUGGACUGCAACUGACGUUGAGGCUCGAAAGUGUGGGUAGCAAACAGGAU